rnacentral:snRNA from 1 species
AGUAUAUUUUCAUGUUUGAAAAUAUACUCAUGAAUUUUAUUGGAAUGACAUAAAGAAGAUUAGCAUGGUCCCUGCGCAAGGAUGACACGCACAAAUCGAGAAAAAUGAAACAAAAGU